CGGCACGUGGCGCAGUCUGGUAGCGCACUUGCUUGGGGUGCAAGAGGUCGCUGGUUCGAAUCCAGUCGUGCCGACCA
rnacentral:tRNA from 1 species